rnacentral:rRNA from 1 species
GUCCUACGGGAGGCAGCAGUGAGGAAUAUUGGUCAAUGGGCGGGAGCCUGAACCAGCCAAGUCGCGUGAGGGAAGACGGUCCUAUGGAUUGUAAACCUCUUUUGUCGGGGAGCAAGCCUGAGCACGUGUGCCCAGGCGGAGAGUACCCGGAGAAAAAGCAUCGGCUAACUCCGUGCCAGCAGCCGCGGUAAUACGGAGGAUGCGAGCGUUAUCCGGAUUUAUUGGGUUUAAAGGGUGCGCAGGCGGGCUGUUAAGCCGGCGG